rnacentral:piRNA from 1 species
UUAUCAUGAAGGGCUGUUGAACUUUACCAAC